rnacentral:rRNA from 1 species
UACGAAGGGGGCUAGCGUUGCUCGGAAUGACUGGGCGUAAAGGGCGCGUAGGCGGAUGGCACAGUCAGAUGUGAAAUUCCCGGGCUUAACCUGGGGGCUGCAUUUGAUACGUGUUGUCUUGAGUUCGGAAGAGGGUCGUGGAAUUCCCAGUGUAGAGGUGAAAUUCGUAGAUAUUGGGAAGAACACCGGUGGCGAAGGCGGCGACCUGGUCCGAGACUGACGCUGAGGCGCGAAAGCGUGGGGAGCAAACAGG